ensembl:lncRNA GAR1-DT GAR1 divergent transcript
AGCACGACGUCCCGGAAGUGCUGCGGCAAUGUUGCUCUUGGAGAUAGCUGGCGUUAGGGAUCCGCCUUCUCUCCCAGAGGCGGGGUAUUCAAGUAUGUUUUGAGCACCGACGGGCUGUGAACUGGACUGUGCUGAAAGCUCCUCUCCCUCUUCUCUCUUUAAGCCCUUUAUAUUUGACAUCAGCUUCCCCCACAUUCUCCAAAGCUUCUCUCACAAAUAAAGGUGCUCAGGCUGAGAAGAUUCAAGGAAAGGGUUCCUCACGUAGUUAUACAGUUGUGUUCCAGGGGAAGGAAAAUAUUGUUCGGUUUUGUUCUGCAAUUCCCCACGGUGGUUUUCGAGACCUCACCAGAAACUGAUGCCAGCACCAUGCUUCCUGUAAAGCCUCCAGAACCAUAAGCCAAUUAAACCUCUUUCUUUAUAAAUUA